CCUACGGGAGGCAGCAGUGGGGAAUAUUGCACAAUGGGGGGAACCCUGAUGCAGCGACGCCGCGUGAGUGAAGAAGUAUUUCGGUAUGUAAAGCUCUAUCAGCAGGGAAGAAGAUGACGGUACCUGACUAAGAAGCCCCGGCUAACUACGUGCCAGCAGCCGCGGUAAUACGUAGGGGGCAAGCGUUAUCCGGAUUUACUGGGUGUAAAGGGAGCGUAGACGGCAGGGCAAGUCUGGAGUGAAAGCCGGGGGCCCAACCCCGGGACUGCUUUGGAAACUGCCAUGCUGGAGUGCUGGAGAGGUAAGCGGAAUUCCUAGUGUAGCGGUGAAAUGCGUAGAUAUUAGGAGGAACACCAGUGGCGAAGGCGGCUUACUGGACAGUAACUGACGUUGAGGCUCGAAAGCGUGGGGAGCAAACAGGAUUAGAUACCCUAGUAGUC
rnacentral:rRNA from 1 species